UACAUCCUUGCCCUGUAAUCUAAGCUGUCCAGAUGAAAUCUCGACUCGUCAGUGAGCAAAACACCAUCCCAAUCUUGUCUCCUGUACCUUAAAUGAUGUCUGCACCAGGCAUGACGUGCCUGUCGGUGACGUUGGAGCACAAUUGGACGUCUUGCAGGCCGUCAGACCACAUGUGCU